GUAAUUGACCCCUUAACUGUUGUGAGAAGAAAAGUUCUGGGUUACUUUUUGUGGCUUACAGAAGAAUGUUAUUGCUGUUUGGAGUGAUUUUAGCCUUCAGAUUGAAGCCAUUGAAGGCUAUUUGGUUGUGUUCUACGCAUAGUGAGGUUGUGGAACUUGUCUUUAGCGAGAUACGGAUGCGGAGAGAAAGACACGGAUGCGGAGAGAAAGACUUGUGGCUGACGGUCUUUACUUAUGGACUCUGUUGCUGAGGUUGACGUUGUAGACUUAAUUGAUGAAGAAUCAUCUUAGAUAUGUGAGAGAAUCUGAUGAAGUGAAGGAUCUCUAGUUCUCAUCUGUAGUCCAUAGAGGUAAUACCCUAUUACAGAUUCAUCAAGCAUCCUGCUCAAGUUGCUAAAUGGAAAGCAUAGGAGGUAAGAGAUCCCCUUACGUGAGUCCUUUUAAUCUAAAUAUAUUAUGUUAAUUAGAAUGUGUCAUAUUUUGUCACAAGGGACACCUUACAAUGUUAAGGUUACUUUUCUAUUUGUUCCCAAGUAAAGAGGUAACCUUAGGUAGGGGCUUUAAUGGCAGUUUGGCGACACAAUGAGUUCAUUGAUGAAGAAGCGAAAACAGAGUCUGUUGACAGGAUCUAACUUGCCAAUUCAUCAUUGGUCUAAAUUUCCGUCGACUUCAACUCAUGUUAUGUGAAUAUGGAAUAGAUUAAUCAUAUUAUGUAGUGAAACUUGGAUCAUUUAUAGCAAUGAUUUAUGUAUCAUGUUCAGUGUGUUGGUGAAUGCUCACCAGUGAUGUAAUUGAUAUUAGGAAUAUAAUGAUUUUUUU